CCCUUAGAUGUCCGGGGCCGCACGCGCGCUACACUGAAAGAAUCAGAGGGUCUUAGAUUCCUAACCCGAGAGGGUCGGGCAAUCCGUAGAACCUCUUUCGUGCUUGGGACUGGGGCUUGUAAUUAUUCCCCAUGAACGAGGAAUUCCUAGUAAGCGCGAGUCAUCAGCUCGUGUUGAUUACGUCCCUGCCCUUUGUACACACCGCCCGUCGCUACUACCGAUUGGAUGGUUUAGUGAGACACUCGGACUGGCCCGCCUUUUGGUGUGUCUUCGGAUGCGCCUUGGCCGGUGCUGGGAAGAAGUUCAAACUUGACUGUCUAGAGGAAGUAAAAGUCGUANCA
rnacentral:rRNA from 1 species